GUUAAGGUGGCAGAGCCCGGCAAAUGCAUAAAACUUAAAACUUUAUAAUCGGAGGUUCAACUCCUCUCCUUAAC
rnacentral:tRNA from 1 species